ACCCCGCCCAUUCCAAAUAUU
rnacentral:miRNA from 1 species